rnacentral:rRNA from 1 species
UACGUAGGGUGCGAGCGUUGAUCGGAAUUACUGGGCGUAAAGCGUGCGCAGGCGGUUUUGUAAGCCAGAUGUGAAAUCCCCGGGCUUAACCUGGGAAUGGCAUUUGGGACUGCAAGGCUGGAGUUUGGCAGAGGAGACUGGAAUUCCUGGUGUAGCAGUGAAAUGCGUAGAUAUCAGGAGGAAUACCGAUGGCGAAGGCAGGUCUCUGGGCUAUAACUGACGCUCAUGCACGAAAGCGUGGGGAGCAAACAGG